rnacentral:rRNA from 1 species
UCCUACGGGGCGCAGCAGUGGGGAAUCUUCCGCAAUGGGCGAAAGCCUGACGGAGCAACGCCGCGUGAGUGAUGAAGGCCUUCGGGUUGUAAAACUCUGUCUUCAGGGAAGAAACAAAUGACGGUACCUGAGGAGGAAGCCACGGCUAACUACGUGCCAGCAGCCGCGGUAAUACGUAGGUGGCAAGCGUUGUCCGGAAUUACUGGGCGUAAAGAGCGCGUAGGCGGGGAUUUAAGUCAGGAGUGAAAACUGGUGGCUCAACCACCAGCCUGCUCUUGAAACUGAAUCUCUUGAGGGUAUGAGAGGAAAGCGGAAUUCCCAGUGUAGCGGUGAAAUGCGUAGAUAUUGGGAGGAACACCAGUGGCGAAGGCGGCUUUCUGGCAUACAACUGACGCUGAGGCGCGAAAGCGUGGGGAGCAAACGGGAUUAGAUACCCUGGUAGG